AGUGAACGCUGGCGGUAGGCCUAACACAUGCAAGUCGAACGGCAGCACAGUAAGAGCUUGCUCUUACGGGUGGCGAGUGGCGGACGGGUGAGGAAUACAUCGGAAUCUACUUUUUCGUGGGGGAUAACGUAGGGAAACUUACGCUAAUACCGCAUACGACCUACGGGUGAAAGCAGGGGAUCUUCGGACCUUGCGCGAUUGAAUGAGCCGAUGUCGGAUUAGCUAGUUGGCGGGGUAAAGGCCCACCAAGGCGACGAUCCGUAGCUGGUCUGAGAGGAUGAUCAGCCACACUGGAACUAAGACACGGUCCAGACUCCUACGGGAGGCAGCAGUGGGGAAUAUUGGACAAUGGGUGCAAGCCUGAUCCAGCCAUACCGCGUGGGUGAAGAAGGCCUUCGGGUUGUAAAGCCCUUUUGUUGGGAAAGAAAAGCAGCAGGUUAAUACCCCGCUGUUCUGACGGUACCCAAAGAAUAAGCACCGGCUAACUUCGU
rnacentral:rRNA from 1 species